UUAUUCAAUUGGGCUACUUUUAAUAUAGCCAUUAUUUCCUUAAUUCAAUUUUUUUCAGCAGAGAUUUUCUUCCUCCCCUCAACUCACGUUGAAACCGCCCCACUCUUCUCACCCCUAAAUCUCUCCCGUAUCUUUAACAACCAUUCCUCUAUAUUACUCCCAACACCAGCUCAUAUAUUCAAAAUCGGAGGAAAGUAACAUAGAGAAAUCUUCUACGUUCCAAUUGCUCGAUCAAACUAAAGUUUGAGGAUAAAAAAAUACAAAACUGCCGUGAAUUCAAUUCCUUCUGCUGCUAGGCAAUUUCUCCUCUCCAAAGGGUGAACUUGUGCACGUUGUUGCGGUUGGAACAAGAAAGUGUUGAGGAGUUAAGCAUUUGAGAUUGAGCGGCGAUGGGCGUGGAGGAUGUUGAGCAGAGUUCAUGGAUUGUUCUGUCAUGAUUAAUAAUGUUGGAUUUGUCGUGUCUUCAUACUCGGCAUUUUCCGUGUCUUGAACGCUUCCGCUAAGAGUCCUUUUCAUUAGAAUUGUUUAUUCGUGGAGAGUCUAACUCGUUUAAAAAUUGUUUAUUUUCUAUUCUUUAUUUACUUAGAGUUGGUAUUAUUGUUAGGAUAAUAUUAUGACGUUUUCAAAGUUAAUUCAGUUAUUAAAUUUUUGGU